rnacentral:tRNA from 1 species
AAAGCUUUAAGUUAUUUAAACUUAUAGCCUUCAAAGCUAUUAAAAGGAGUAAAAACCUCCUAAGCUUUA